rnacentral:lncRNA from 1 species
AACUGGGGGUGAUUGGAGAGCUUCGGAGGAGUAUUAAGCAGAUCCUAUUCCACAUGUGACAUCCGUCGUGUUAACGUUGAUGAGUUAAGGCUAACAAUCGUUAAAUCACAGGAAACAAGAAACAAAGACGAAUCUAAUCUCAGAAUUAAAUACAAUGUACUAAGAACAUUAUACUUUUCAAAGUUGAUCAUGUAACUAAAUGACCGAAAGUUAGACAAAUAAUAAUAUAAAAGAUUCACUUUCACAUCAAGGAAAUUCGAUCACCAACUAUACUUUG